UACGUAGGGUGCGAGCGUUAAUCGGAAUUACUGGGCGUAAAGCGUGCGCAGGCGGUGAUGUAAGACAGAUGUGAAAUCCCCGGGCUUAACCUGGGAAUUGCAUUUGUGACUGUACGGCUAGAGUGUGUCAGAGGGGGGUAGAAUUCCACGUGUAGCAGUGAAAUGCGUAGAGAUGUGGAGGAACACCAGUGGCGAAGGCGGCCGCCUGGGCCUUUGCUGACGCUGAGCCGCGAAAGCGUGGGGAGCGAGCCGG
rnacentral:rRNA from 1 species